GAUGAACGCUGGCGGCGUGCCUAAUACAUGCAAGUCCAGCGAACAGACGAGGAGCUUGCUCCUCUGACGUUAGCGGCGGACGGGUGAGUAACACGUGGAUAACCUACCUAUAAGACUGGGAUAACUUCGGGAAACCGGAGCUAAUACCGGAUAAUAUAUUGAACCGCGUGGUUCAAUAGUGAAAGACGGUUUUGCUGUCACUUAUAGAUGGAUCCGCGCCGCAUUAGCUAGUUGGUAAGGUAACGGCUUACCAAGGCAACGAUGCGUAGCCGACCUGAGAGGGUGAUCGGCCACACUGGAACUGAGACACGGUCCAGACUCCUACGGGAGGCAGCAGUAGGGAAUCUUCCGCAAUGGGCGAAAGCCUGACGGAGCAACGCCGCGUGAGUGAUGAAGGUCUUCGGAUCGUAAAACUCUGUUAUUAGGGAAGAACAAAUGUGUAAGUAACUAUGCACGUCUUGACGGUACCUAAUCAGAAAGCCACGGCUAACUACGUG
rnacentral:rRNA from 1 species